rnacentral:rRNA from 1 species
GAAUUCGAUUCAGGCCUAACACAUGCAAGUCGAACGCCCAGCAAUGGGAGUGGCAGACGGGUGAGGAACACGUGGGAACGUGCCUUUUGGUUCGGAAUAACUCAGGGAAACUUGUGCUAAUACCGGAUAAGCCCUUCGGGGGAAAGAUUUAUCGCCAAAAGAUCGGCCCGCGUCUGAUUAGCUAGUUGGUGAGGUAACGGCUCACCAAGGCGACGAUCAGUAGCUGGUCUGAGAGGAUGAUCAGCCACAUUGGGACUGAGACACGGCCCAGACUCCUACGGGAGGCAGCAGGGGGGAAUAUUGGACAAUGGGGGCAACCCUGAUCCAGCCAUGCCGCGUGAGUGAUGAGGGUCUUCGGAUUGUAAAGCUCUUUUGGCGGGGACG